rnacentral:rRNA from 1 species
AUUGAACGCUGGCGGCAGGCCUAACACAUGCAAGUCGAGCGGAUGACGGGAGCUUGCUCCUUGAUUCAGCGGCGGACGGGUGAGUAAUGCCUAGGAAUCUGCCUGGUAGUGGGGGACAACGUUUCGAAAGGAACGCUAAUACCGCAUACGUCCUACGGGAGAAAGCAGGGGACCUUCGGGCCGUGCGCUAUCAGAUGAGCCUAGGUCGGAUUAGCUAGUUGGUGGGGUAAUGGCUCACCAAGGCGACGAUCCGUAACUGGUCUGAGAGGAUGAUCGGUCACACUGGAACUGGGACACGGUCCAGACUCCUACGGGAGGCAGCAGUGGGGAAUAUGGGACAAUGGGCGAAAGCCUGAUCCAGCCAUGCCGCGUGUGUGAAGAAGGUCUUCGGAUUGUAAAGCGCUUUAAGUUGGGAGGAAGGGCAGUAAGUUAAUACCUUGCUGUUUUGACGUUACCGACAGAAUAAGCACCGGCUAACUCUGUGCCAGCCGCCGCCGUAAGAC